rnacentral:rRNA from 1 species
UACGUAGGGGGCUAGCGUUGUCCGGAAUCAUUGGGCGUAAAGAGCGCGUAGGCGGCCAGAUAAGUCCGGUGUGAAAGUCAAAGGCUCAACCUUUGAAUGCCGCUGGAAACUGUCUGGCUAGAGUCCGGGAGGGGCGAGUGGAAUUCCUGGUCGGUAGCGGUGAAAUGCGCAGAUAUCAGGAGGAACACCGGUGGCGAAGGCGGGUCUCUGGGCCGAAACUGACGCUGGAGGAGCGAAAGCGUGGGAGC